AGGUCUGGCUGUCCAACAAAGGAGGUACCAUCUGCCAACCCUCACAUCAAACACAUUGUAAUUUGUGGCUACAGAACUACUUCACAACUCCUGAAGCAUUGGUACUUUUACUGUGGAGAACCAAAAAAAAAAAUUAAAUAAAGUUCCCGGGAAACAGAUCAGGUAUGAAGAUUGGCUGAAUUGGAAAUGAAGGGGAAAAAAAAAAUCAGACAUGGCACAUAAGAAGAAUUAUAGUGUCUCAUCGUAAUGCUGUAAGGCUGUUGGAUGGAAAACAACAACAGAAGAGCAAUUUGCUUUACAUAUAUUCAUCAUUUAAUCCUGCUAGCUUUUUUUGAGCAUUUGCUUGUUUAGGCCCCAGUGGGAAGAUCAGCUUCCGUCCUUCCUGGAAAAUGGGGAGGGAGGCAACAAAUGACAAAGCCUGCUGCUGUGAAGCUUCAUCUUCCAGAUUCUUCCUUUGACUACACAAGCAACAGCUGUCUAGCUUCCUGUUCAGUACAGGAUCUAAUGCCUCUACAGAAAUCUAGGUCAAAACACUUGGAAUGUAUGAAUAUCAAACAGAGUUUUCAAAACAGCAAAUGAAUACAUCUUUAACUGGUGACAUUUUCCUGUAGCAUAUGGCUGCGAGCUCAGGGGACUGCAUGCUUUUUUGAUGAAUAUGUUCCGUCAAAAACUAAGGAAUGGCAGUGGGCUUAUAUCACCUUCUGUUUUGCCUUAUGAAAUGAUAAUGCAAACUCAGAGAUAGAUACCACUAUUACAAGACUUUUACCUUUUGUCCAAUCCCACAGUAGUUAAAGGCCUACUGGUUAAGUGACUACGUCUUUGGUUGUGCUACACUAUAAAAGAUAGCUGUCAAAGAUGCGAUUGUAUAAACCACUUAUCCAAGUCACGGAGGGCAUAGUACAUUCCCAUACUUGUGGAAAAUAGCAAAAUGCAGAACAAGGAAAGUGACCCUGGUUAAUUAUAUAGCUUUGUGGAGAGAAAACGCCAAGGAAACAACUUGGACAAAAGAAAGCUCUGAUAUGUACUAACAAAGUGCAGUUUGCCGUUACAGUUCGGCAAGCUGUAUAUCAUCUAUGUGGCAGACACAACAGUCUUCUAAUGAAGGAAAAUGG